rnacentral:rRNA from 2 species
AGUGGGGAAUCUUAGACAAUGGGGGCAACCCUGAUCUAGCCAUGCCGCGUGAGUGAUGAAGGCCUUAGGGUUGUAAAGCUCUUUCAGCUGGGAAGAUAAUGACGGUACCAGCAGAAGAAGCCCCGGCUAACUCCGUGCCAGCAGCCGCGGUAAUACGGAGGGGGCUAGCGUUGUUCGGAAUUACUGGGCGUAAAGCGCACGUAGGCGGACCAGAAAGUUGGGGGUGAAAUCCCGGGGCUCAACCUCGGAACUGCCUUCAAAACUAUUGGUCUGGAGUUCGAGAGAGGUGAGUGGAAUUCCGAGUGUAGAGGUGAAAUUCGUAGAUAUUCGGAGGAACACCAGUGGCGAAGGCGGCUCACUGGCUCGAUACUGACGCUGAGGUGCGAAAGCGUGGGGAGCAAA